rnacentral:rRNA from 1 species
ACACGUCUACAUUAGAUACCCGGGUAGUCCCAGCCGUAAACUAUGCGCGUUAGGUGUAUCGGUGACCACGAGUUACCGAGGUGCCGAAGGGAACCGUGAAACGUGCCGCCUGGGAAGUACGGUCGCAAGGCUGAAACUUAAAGGAAUUGGCGGGGGAGCACCACAACAGGUGGAGCCUGCGGUUUAAUUGGACUCAACGCCGGACAACUCACCGGGAACGACAGCAAUAUGUAGGCCAGGCUGAAGACCUUGCCUGAAUCGCUG